rnacentral:rRNA from 1 species
GAUGAACGCUGGCGGCGUGCCUAAUACACGCAAGUCGAGCGAACAGACGAGGAGCUUGCUCCUCUGACGUUAGCGGCGGACGGGUGAGUAACACGUGGAUAACCUACCUAUAAGACUGGGAUAACUUCGGGAAACCGGAGCUAAUACCGGAUAAUAUAUUGAACCGCAUGGUUCAAUAGUGAAAGACGGUUUUGCUGUCACUUAUAGAUGGAUCCGCGCCGCAUUAGCUAGUUGGUAAGGUAACGGCUUACCAAGGCGACGAUGCGUAGCCGACCUGAGAGGGUGAUCGGCCACACUGGAACUGAGACACGGGCCAGACUCCUACGGGAGGCAGCAGUAGGGAAUCUUCCGCAAUGGGCGAAAGCCUGACGGAGCAACGCCGCGUGAGUGAUGAAGGUCUUCGGAUCGUAAAACUCUGUUAUUAGGGAAGAACAAAUGUGUAAGUAACUAUGCACGUCUUGACGGUACCUAAUCAGAAAGCCACGGCUAACUACGUG